rnacentral:snRNA from 1 species
GGAUGUGAGGGUGACUUGGCUGUGACAUCUGUCACCCUAUUGAUCACCAAGGUUGAUUUGGCUGAUCUGGCUGGCCAGAUAGUGGGUCUUUCCUUCCUCAGUGCUGCAUGUGCUUCCCUCCUGAAACUGCAUACUCGGUCAAAGAGGAUGACCACCCCCGAUAGAGGAGAACCAUUCCUUGGUCAAGGGUAUACGAGUAGAUGUGCUCCCCUGCUAGAACCUCCAAACAAGCUCUCAAGAAAGUAAAGAACUUAGUCAGUCUAUCUCAUGUGAGUUGAUAAAGAGAUGGAGCUCUUGAAGCUGACAU